CCUACGGGAGGCAGCAGUGGGGGAUAUUGCACAAUGGGGGAAACCCUGAUGCAGCGACGCCGCGUGGGCGAAGAAGGAUUUCGGUAUGUAAAGCCCUAUCAGCAGGGAAGAAGAAAUGACGGUACCUGAGUAAGAAGCACCGGCUAAAUACGUGCCAGCAGCCGCGGUAAUACGUAUGGUGCAAGCGUUAUCCGGAUUUACUGGGUGGAAAGGGAGGGCAGGCGGCACGGCAAGCCUGAUGUGAAAGCCCGCGGCUCAACCGCGGGAGUGCAUUGGGAACUACCGGGCUGGAGUGCCGGAGAGGUAGGCGGAAUUCCUAGUGUAGCGGUGAAAGGCGUAGAUAUUAGGAGGAACACCAGUGGCGAAGGCGGCCCACUGGACGGUGACUGACGCUGAGGCUCGAAAGCGUGGGGAGCGAACAGGAUUAGAUACCCGGGUAGUC
rnacentral:rRNA from 1 species